GGAGCGGUAGUUCAGUCGGUAAGAAUACCGGCCUGACACGCCGGGGUCGCGGGUUCGAGUCCCGUCCGCUCCGCCA
rnacentral:tRNA from 1 species